CCUACGGGUGGCAGCAGUGGGGAAUUUUGGACAAUGGGCGCAAGCCUGAUCCAGCCAUUCCGCGUGCAGGACGAAGGCCCUCGGGUUGUAAACUGCUUUUGUACGGAACGAAAAGCCUUGGGCUAAUACCCCGAGGUCAUGACGGUACCGUAAGAAUAAGCACCGGCUAACUACGUGCCAGCAGCCGCGGUAAUACGUAGGGUGCAAGCGUUAAUCGGAAUUACUGGGCGUAAAGCGUGCGCAGGCGGUCUUGUAAGACAGAGGUGAAAUCCCCGGGCUCAACCUGGGAACUGCCUUUGUGACUGCAAGGCUGGAGUGCGGCAGAGGGGGAUGGAAUUCCGCGUGUAGCAGUGAAAUGCGUAGAUAUGCGGAGGAACACCGAUGGCGAAGGCAAUCCCCUGGGCCUGCACUGACGCUCAUGCACGAAAGCGUGGGGAGCAAACAGGAUUAGAUACCCUUGUAGUC
rnacentral:rRNA from 1 species